rnacentral:snRNA from 1 species
UGUAGAGUCAAAUGGUACCA